UUCAGGUAAACCUAUUGAGGUCAACAAAAAUCAGGAAUUAAGCAGUGUCUCCAUUCCAAAUAAAACUUCAUCCAUGUGCUAGUUUGGCCUGUGAGAUGCUGGUGAGCUCACCUCCAGGCACUCACGGACUCCCCACCCAUUGAGUGUGGCCUGGAUUUAGUGACUCCAUCAAAUGUGACAGAGUGCUGGGGUGUCACUUUCAAGACUGGGUUAUGUGAAGACUGCAGCCUCCAUCUGGGGUGCUGUCUCUUGGAUUGCUUGCGCAGGGGUGUGGGGAGAGCUGCUGUGCUGGGAGGCUGCCCUGUGGAGAGGCCCAUGUGAGUUGACUUGGAUGUGAACCUUCUGUGGCCUGCCAAUAGCCAUCUGAGUGACCUUGAAAAUGGAUCAGCCUUCAAGAUGACUGUGGUCUUGGCUGACAGCUUGACUGCUGUCUCACAAGGGACCUUAAACCAAAGGCACCCUGCUAAGCCACACACAGCUUCCUGGCCCACAGAAACUAUGAAAUAAUAACCAUUUCUUACAUAAGCCUCCAAGUGUUGGGAGUAAUAUUUUGCACAGUGAUGGAUCACUAAUACAAGCCAGUCACCAGUUGAAAGACGCUGAAUUUAUUUCCAGUUUUAUGUGAUUAUGAAUAAUGUCACCAUAUGCAUUUGCAUACAGGUGUUUAUGUGAACACUGCUGUCAUUUCUCUUGGGAAGAUACUGAGGAGUCAGACUGCUGGAUCUCAUGAAGAAUGUAUGUUGAACGUUAUAAAAAUCUGCCAACUUAAA